UACGGAGGGUGCAAGCGUUAUACGGAAUCACUGGGUUUAAAGGGUGCGUAGGCUGCUGCAUAAGUCAGGGGUGAAAGUUUGUCGCUUAACGAUUGAAUUGCCUUUGAUACUGUUCGGCUUGAAAUUAGGUGAGGUUGGCGGAAUGUGACAUGUAGCGGUGAAAUGCGUAGAUAUGUCAUAGAACACCGAUUGCGAAGGCAGCUGGCUAACCUAAUUUUGACGCUGAGGCGCGAAAGCGUGGGUAGCAAACAGG
rnacentral:rRNA from 1 species